UUUUAGUAUAAUAAUCUCUUUUCUUUCCUGAUUUGUUAAUUUCUUAUACCUUUUCUAUUAAUCAUUGAUAUUGUAUCAGUCAGCUAACACAAUAGUAAAUCUCCCUCUCAGGGCUUACAACAAUAAAUGUUUUAUUUUCUGCUCUGUAUCUUCCAGUUUGUUGAGCUUUGGCUGAUUUCAGCUGAGCGAGCCUGGACUCAGCAGCAGUCACCUGGACUCCAGACUUUCAGAUUUUCUAUCAAGAAUUUGAAGUGGCCCAUUGAUGUCUCCAACUAUUAUUGCAGAACUACGUAUUCUCUCCCUAAAUUUUGCCAAUAUUUGCUUCGUAUAUUUUGGGGGGCCCUGUUGUUUAGUGUGUGCAUAUUUAUAAUUGUUAUAUCUUCUUGAUAAAUUGAUCCUUUUAUUAGUGUUUAAUGCCCUUGUUCCAAUUGUAACAGUGGUUAAAUUAAAGUCAAUUCAUGUCAUACUAGUAGAGCCACACCACCUCUCUUUUGGUUACCAUUUGUAUGGAAUAUAUUUUUCUGUUUUUCACUUUCAAUUUAUUUGUGGCUUGCAACUAAAUUGAGUCUCUUAUAAAAAAAAUGUAGUUGUGUGAUUUUUAAAAUCCAUUACACUGACUUUUGCCUCUCAAUUGGAAAGUUUACUUCAUUUACUUUUAUAGAAAUUAUUGAUGAGAAUUACUACUGCCAUUUUGCUUUUUGUUUUCUAUAUGGCUUACAAUUUUUUGUUCAUUUCUUCCCUUAAUAGUUUUUUUGUGAUUAGUUGAUUUUUAUAGUAAAAUGUUUUAAAAACCUCUGUCAUUUUCUUAUGUGUGCAUUUUAAAAAUAUUGUCUCUAACUGCCAUAAGGAUUCUGUUUAAUAUCUUAAAUUUAUAAUCCUCUAUGUUUUAAUUAAUGCCAACAUAAUUUCAAUAGCAUGAAACACUCCAUAUCUGUGCAGUCCCCUUACCCAUUUCAUGUUGUUUCACAAAUUACAUUCAUAUACAUUCUGUGCUGAAUAACAUAAAUUUAUAAUUAUUUUUAUAAAUUUUUUCAACAUGUAUAGAAAAUAAAAAUGGAGUUAUAAACUAAAAAUAAAAUAAUGCUAAGUUUUAUAAUUGCCCAUGGACUUACUUUUUCCAGGAAACCUUUAUUUCUUCAUUCAUCUUUAGGUUAUUGUCUAGUGUCUUUUCAUUUCAACCUGAAAGAAUCUCUUUAGCAUUUUUCAUAGGACACGUCUGUAGGUUAUAAACUCCGUCAUCUUUUGUUUCUCUGUAAAUGUCUUAAUUCUUUACUCAUUUAUCAUAGAAUGUUUUGCUAGAUAAAGAAUUCUCAGUAAGCAGUUGUUACUGUUUUUGGUCUUUCUUUCAGGACUAAAACAUAUUUGUCCACUAUCUUCUCACUACCAUCAUUUAUAAUGAGAAAAUAGCUCUUAAUCUUAUUGAGAAUCCCUUGUACAUAAUAAAUCGAUUUUCC
rnacentral:lncRNA from 10 species